GUGGGGGUAUAGAGGUAUGGGACUGUAGGUGGAGGUAAAGAGGUAUGGGACUGUAGGUGGAGGGAUAGAGGUAUGGGACUGUAGGUGGAGGUAUAGAGGUAUGGGACUGUAGGUGGAGGGAUAGAGGUAUGGGACUGUAGGUGGAGGUAUAGAGGUACGGGACUGUAGGUGGAGGUAUAGAGGUACGGGACUGUAGGUGGAGGUAUAGAGGUAUGGGACUGUAGGUGGAGGUAUAGAGGUAUGGGACUGUAGGUGGAGGUAUGGGACUGUAGGUGGAGGUAUAGAGGUAUGGGACUGUAGGUGGAGCGAGAGAGGUAUGGGACUGUAGGUGGAGGUAUGGGACUGUAGGUGGAGGUAUAGAGGUAUUGGACUGUAGGUGGAGGUAUGGGACUGUAGGUGGAGGUAAAGAGGUAUGGGACUGUAGGUGGAGAGAUAGAGGUAUGGGACUGUAGGUGGAGGUAUAGCGGUAUGGGACUGUAGGUGGAGGUAUAGAGGUAUGGGACUGUAGGUGGAGGUAUAGAGGUAUGGGACUGUAGGUGGAGGUAUAGAGGUACGGGACUGUAG
rnacentral:lncRNA from 1 species